CUGCACUAAAAACACAAUUUAUCAAUGACCAAAAAUAUCUACAGCUUUUUGAAGGGAAGGAAGGCGUAGCUUGACCACUCUUUCACACUAAUUGGAAAAACACAGGUAAAGAGCAAAACACACAAGUAGACCACCUGCAUUCAACAACAUCAGAAAGCUUUCUGAAUACAGCCUGCAUCGCUCCUGUCAGCAUCUUUUCAUGGUACAAGCAGCCUAAAUGACUGAAUGCCACUGAGCUUCACUACGCAUCUGCUGUGCUUCCAUAAAGCGUUACCCAAUACGGAUAACAACGAUCAGAGCAACUCAAGGUCACAGUUGUCCUGGGGAAGUUCUUGAAGUUCUGGGUAUAAUAGUGCACUUCCUGCAUAUGCACAACACGUGCCCAGGAAGGCAUCUGCUUGGCCUUCCACUGCUGCACCUAUGCCCUGGGGAUAAGAUUACUCUGCUGGCAUUAACGGAUGGAAAAUGGGAAAUAUGACUAGAAUUUGGUUCUGAUUUUGACGUUUUGAAGUUGGAGUUUGGUUUUACAAUUGACAGUACUCAGAGAAGCUGGUGCUCUGGUUACGUGGAAG
rnacentral:lncRNA from 1 species